rnacentral:rRNA from 1 species
UCUGCAACCCGACUCCAUGAAGCUGGAUUCGCUAGUAAUCGCGCAUCAGCCACGGCGCGGUGAAUACGUUCCCGGGCCUUGUACACACCGCCCGUCAAGCCAUGGAAGCCGGGAGUGCCUGAAGUGCGUGAGCGCAAGCAGCGCCCUAAGGUAAAACCGGUGACUGGGGCUAAGUCGUAACAAGGUAAC